AAUGAACGUUGGCGGCGUGGAUUAGGCAUGCAAGUCGCGCGAUAAAUUCCCGCGAGGGAAUGGAAAGCGGCGAAAGGGACAGUAAUGCGUAGAUAACCUACCCUCGGGCCCGGGAUAGCCGCGGGAAACUGCAAUUAAUACCGGGUAACGUCCCCGGACCAAAGGUGUGAUUCCGCCUGAGGAUGGGUCUGCGUCCUAUUAGCUAGUUGGCGUGGUAACGGCACACCAAGGCAAAGAUGGGUAGCAGGUGUGAGAGCACGACCUGCGUCACUGGGACUGAGACACUGCCCAGACACCUACGGGUGGCUGCAGUCGAGGAUCUUCGGCAAUGGGCGCAAGCCUGACCGAGCGACGCCGCGUGCGGGAUGAAGGCCUUCGGGUUGUAAACCGCUGUCAGAGAGGCGGAAAUAUAGGGGGGUACUCCCCUCUAUUUGACCUAAUCUCAGAGGAAGUGCGGGCUAAGUCCGUGCCAGCAGCCGCGGUAACAC
rnacentral:rRNA from 1 species